CCCUCCCCGUCGGAGUGGCCCGGCGAAGAUGUGGAAUUUCCAAACCUUAUUGGAUGGUGGUGGUGUCACUCUGGGGGGAGGCGGGACCCCCAGCGGCGAAGGCCGCCCCUCUCGGACGGUGAUUGGACUCGCCUGAGUAGACCGGGCUGGGAUUGGUGCGAGGUGGGGCCAGAGCCAUCGGGCACCUUGAGCCGAGGUGUCGGGGAGGCGGCGGCCGCCGAGAAGCCGGCCGGACUCGCAGCUUCUUUGCCCGCCGUGUGCGGUCCGCGAAGGGCCGGGUCGAGGGAAGGAGCGGGAGCCCCCCUCCCCACCUCAUCACGCGGGGGCGGGGGAGGCGCUUGUCGCGUGUCGGGCGCAGGACCCUUGGGGCCGGGACGCGGGAGGGGGGCGGGUAGUGGAGGAAGGGAGAGGUGCAGGGGUCCAGGAGUUGGCAUCAGGACCAGCUCAGGAUUUAGACCUGGAAGUGCUUCCGGGGCGGAGGACUUGGGGGGCAGAGGAGGGCGUGGGUGCGUCUGGUAUGGGAUGCCAUGGAAAGGAGGGGGCCCUCCUAAAUAGAUCCGUGGGUGGUUCUUUUGACUCUUCUAUCAUUUUGCCCUUUGCUUUGCCGAAGAGAGAGUCCCCAUGGUCUCUGCUCAAAUUCUGGAAACUUUCUCUUUGGGUGGGCUUAAUCACCUACUACUUUAUUAUAGAACUACCCAGAGCCUUUCCUGAUACUGGGCACAAACGUGGGGAAUAUGUCAGAAAACAGGAAGCCGCUGCUGGGCUUCGUGGGCAAACUCCCCAGUGGGACUGCACUUGGGAACUCAGGCAAGACUCACUGCCCUUUGUGCAUGGGGCUUUUCAAAGCCCCCAGGCUCUUGCCUUGUUUGCACACAGUUUGCACCACGUGUCUGGAGCAGCUGGAACCCUACUCGGUAGUGGACAUCCGAGGGGGCGACUCUGACACAAGCUCUGAGGGGUCAAUAUUCCAGGAACUCAAGCCACCCAGUCUGCAGCCCCAGAUCGGCAUCCUCUGUCCGGUAUGUGACACUCAGGUGGACCUGCCCAUGGGUGGAGUGAAGGCUUUAACCAUAGACCACCUGGCCAUGAAUGACGUGAUGCUGGAGAGUCUUCGUGGGGAAGGCCAGGGCCUGGUGUGUGACCUGUGCAGCGACAGGGAAGUGGAGAAGAGAUGUCAGACCUGCAGAGCCAACCUCUGCCACUUCUGCUGCCAGGCUCAUAGGCGGCAGAAGAAAACAACUUACCACACGGUGGUGGACCUAAAAGACUUGAAAGGCUACAGCAGGAUCGGGAAGCCCAUUCUGUGUCCCGUGCACCCUGCAGAGGAGCUGAGACUGUUCUGUGAGCUCUGUGACCGGCCCGUGUGCCGGGACUGCGUGGUGGGCGAGCACCGGGAGCACCCCUACGACUUCGCCAGCAACGUUAUCCACAAGCACGGGGACUCCGUGCGGGAGCUUCUCAGAGGCACCCAGCCCCACGUGGAGGCCCUGGAGGAAGCCCUGGCACAGAUCACAGAGAUGAACAGUGCCCUCCAGAAGCGAGUGGAGGCUGUGGCAGCUGACGUGCGAACGUUCUCCGAGGGUUACGUCAAGGCCAUUGAGGAGCACCGGGACAGGCUGCUGAAGCAGCUGGAAGACAUCCGGGUCCAGAAGGAAAACUCCCUGCAGCUGCAGAAGGCACAGCUCGAGCAGCUGCUGGCGGACAUGCGGACGGGCGUGGAGUUCACUGAGCACCUGCUGACCAGUGGCUCGGACUUGGAGAUCCUCAUCACCAAGGGGGUGGUAGUGGAACGGCUCACGAAGCUGAACAAAGUCGAAUAUAGUGCCCAUCCUGGAGUAAACGAUAAGAUACGCUUCUCUCCUCAGCAGAGAGCAGGCCGGUGCCGUGGCUAUGAAGUUUAUGGGACCAUCAAUACGAAAGAGGUCGAUCCAGCUAAAUGUGUCCUUCAAGGAGAAGAUCUCCACAGAGCCCGGGAGAAACAGACAGCCUCUUUCACCCUGCUUUGUAAGGAUGCAGCAGGAGAGAGCAUGGGCAGGGGAGGAGACAGCGUGCACGUCGCUGUAGUCCCCAAAGAUAAGAAAGACAGUCCGGUCAGAACGCUGGUACAAGAUAACAAGGACGGGACGUACUAUGUCUCCUAUACUCCCAAGGAGCCUGGCGUCUAUACCGUGUUGGUCUGCGUCAAAGAGCAGCAUGUGCAGGGCUCACCAUUCACUGUGACCGUGAGGAAAAGGCAUCGCUCACACACAGGCGUGUUUCACUGCUGCACGUUCUGCUCCAGCGGAGGCCAGAAAACGGCUCGCUGUGCCUGUGGAGGCACCAUGCCAGGUGGGUACCUGGGCUGUGGCCACGGACACAAAGGUCACCCAGGCCGCCCGCACUGGUCAUGCUGCGGGAAGUUCGCUGAGAAGUCGGAAUGCACAUGGACAGGUGGGGAGAGUGCACCAAGGAGUCUACUCAGGACCGUAGCCCUCUGAUGCUUUCCUGGCUAUGCGGUCAGCUUGUCCGAGUGGUGCCCAGCGCAACUUCAGAUGACCAGAGGACCCCAGACAUUAAUUCUGAAGAAUCUGGGCUCACAGAUAGGAGCUACGUCGGAGCCGUAAAUCCUAAGGUGUUCACUAUAUUCUCAUCCUUUUCUGGGAAGAUUCCCCUCCACGCUCUCUAACCCACAUCUCAUCUUCCCAGAAGACAGCGAUGGCCCCGUGACCCUCAUGAAGUGUUAGCGAGUUGCUUUUCCUCACUCCUUCCAACUGCUCCAACCAGAGCUCAGCCAUACAGUCGGUCACCCCCCGGACCUGGCUGGAUUCCAACUGCACCGUCUGCAGAGUUUGAAUUUCAAGCCUCCUACGACCACAAGCUCCCAUCUCUCUGGCUCACCCACUGUUUCUGCUACUGUGUCAAACAUCGCAUCGGAGCGGUCUCUAGCUACCUUGGAUAAGAUAGCAUCUCCCCACCCCAGGACUCUGUAUCACCCUUAUUCGGCUUCCUCACCACCUCACACACAUACUUGUUUAACGUCUGUUCUCUCAUAUGACACUCGGCUCUGUGAAGACAGGGACUUGACAUUAUCGAUUAUAUUGGCCCCACGUAGGACAGUUCCUGGCACACAGGAGAGGCUUAAUCAUUUUGUUGAAUAAAUAAAGGUAUCACUUGGUACACGUUUUA